AGUCUUGAAAAAUCUGUGGCCAAGUGCGGAUAGUUCAUAUGUUAUUUGACCUGACGGUGUGAGAGACUGAGGUUACCAUUUAUGUUAUACUUAACGGAGUUGUAUGUGAAUAUUGAUUAUGAAAGAGAACAAAUCAGGUUGCAACAACUUUUUGACGAAAUUGUUGCUAAUUCCGAACCAGAACCAUACAGUGAGCUGCAGUGGAGUGUAUAAAAAAAUGAGGAAACAAAUGGACAAUAAUUUCAGUUUGUGUUGGACAUUUGUUGAAUAAUUUUAUUUUUUUUGUGACAUUUCAACCCUUAUCGGUAUGUUUGUUGAUAUUUUGUAUUCAAAAACUUGACAUGUUUUUGUAAAUUGUUUGUCAAUUAUGUUAGUAUCUAAAAGAAGCCAAUUUUUUUAAUGUGCAUUUUUUUUCCCGAAUAUAAAUAAAUAUUGAUCAUUUCUUACU
rnacentral:lncRNA from 1 species